CUGGGCUAGAAGCGACGCGCGCGCGUAGACCGGAGCUCGGGGCCAUCGUCGGGUCCUCCUCCCGCUCCCCGCGCCGCCUCCAGCGCCAGUGACAACGCGCCCUCCAGGCUCGGGAGCCUCUGCGCCAGACGGUCCCGGGCAGGACUCGCCUCUUGGGACAGCACCUCGGCGCUCGCCUGUCCGUCGGUCCAUCUCUGUCUGCCCACCGCAGGAAGGGGCUGGCAGCGGCCAGGGACAGAGCCGGGCGCCGCGGAGCGACAGGACCCGGAGGAGGAGGGAGAGCGAAGGCGGCGAGGGAAGGAGGACCCCGGCAGGCGACAGCAUGCAGUUCAGCCCGGGCUGGGCCUCAGCACCAGAUAAGGAAACAGCAUGAGAUGUUAAAUCACAUGAAAAGAGGAGACCUUGAGCUGAGUGAAAUAUAAAAUAAAUAAGGAAACAAAUCACCUGUGUUCAAACAUCCAGAAGGCCCAUGCCUAAGGAUUAGGUGAAUGAAGUGAUUCAGCUGCUUCUGUAAUAUUUCUGUAAUAUUUCUAAGAAGCCAUGGGGACUAUUGCACCUGAGGAUGCUCCAGAGAUCCAACAACUGGAAGGAAGAUGCUAUCUAUCUGCGGCUUACAAUACUGGAAAGAAUCGUUUUCUUCUCCAUUGCUUGUCCUAUAAAUAAAUAGACUGAGAGUUUUUGGUAAAUACUGUUUAUUUAAUGCUGUAAUGAGGUCCCUUAAUAUGGCACAGAGCAUAAUGUUAGCUAAAGCUCUUUCUGGUAACAAAAGCUUCAUGUUAACAAAAUUGCAAUUAAACUUCUGGCAUCUCCCAGUUGAAAAAAUGUAACCCUUUCACAAAAUUAAAAAGGAAAAGAAAAAAUUCCAGUAAUUGGGGGAGGGUCAAAUGUGAUGAACAGUUGAUGAAUUUUUCAAUACUUGGCAUUACUGGCAAAUCUACAGAAUUUAAUAAGCUUCCCUAAUUGACUUUCAUGCCAAAUUACAUUAUUUUGUUCUAUAUUUUUAUUGAAAAGUGCUUGUUAGGAAAAUGCUGAGUUUUGACAAAUGAGUACACCAGCAUGACCACUCCCAUAUUACAAAUAUAAAAUAGUGCUAAUAUUUUCCUUAUAUCAUAUAAACGUGCCUGUUUAUACAACGGUCAGAUUAGGCAAGUCAUUCUCAAUCCCAAAGGAAUGAUAGGAUGUACAAACAUGGGCUGGAUUCACUGAACAGAAUUAUAUUGGGGGAGGGGUUGGGAGGUGCAAACAUCUGUGCAGUCUAACCAUAUGUGGACAGUCUCUAGGUCUGACCUAGUGGGGAAAGGGAAAAUAAUGGUAUGAAGGACAGUGCCAAUUAGCUUUUAUGGAAUCUUAUGCAGCUAAAUCUUGGCCAUCCUCCUUUCUUGAUUACUGGCCUUCCUUUGUGUGUGACCUAAUAAAGUCAAACUUUGAAUUGGCAUCAUUAAGAAUUUGCUAACUUGCCUAGAUUGUACAUACCAGCA